UAGGGAGACCUAAUCCACUCAAACAUCGAAAGCAAACAGCGAAUAGGUGAAGAGAUGGUCUACUCUAGGUCGGUCGAGAUUGGUUAAAGCUUUCAAAGUAUUAUAUUCCGGUUUAAACAGAUGGAAAAAAGUCAGCACCUAACAAAAAGUAGUUAGACUGCUGGGGAUAUUCCAGCCAGAACCUUGAAAACUGCAUAGAAACGCGAUAGAUAGCAGGCAGACACAGACAUCCAAUGGAUGUUGAGUGAAAGCAGGUGGAAACCAAUGAAUUG
rnacentral:misc_RNA from 1 species